AGCGAACGCUGGCGGCACGCCUAACACAUGCAAGUCGAGCGAGAAAGUGACUUCGGUCACGAGUAAAGCGGCGAACGGGUGAGUACAACGUGGAUAAUCUACCCUAAGGUCCGGGACAACCCCGAGAAAUCGGAGCUAAUACCGGAUAAGACCACAGUAUCCGAGGAUACAGCGGUAAAAGAUUUAUCGCCUUUGGAUGAGUCCACGUCCCAUCAGGUAGUUGGUAAGGUAAAAGCUUACCAAGCCUAAGACGGGUAGCCGGCCUUAGCGGGUGAACGGCCACAUGGGGACUGAGACACGGCCCUGACUCCUACGGGAGGCAGCAGUGGGGAAUAUUGGGCAAUGGGCGAAAGCCUGACCCAGCGAUGCCGCG
rnacentral:rRNA from 1 species